GUCCGAUUCAUCUGAAACUUUCAGGGCAGAUAGACCUUGACCUGAUAAACAAAUAAACCAGUGUCAGAUUUGCUCUAAAUGCUUUGGUUUUUGAGUUAUAAACCAAAAACUGCAUUUUACCCCUAUGUUCUAUUUUUAGCCAUGGCGGCCAUCUUGGUUGGAUGGCCGGGUCACCAGGACACAUUUUUUAAACUAGAUACCCAAAGAUGAUUGUGGCCAAGUUUGGAUUAAUUUGGCCCAGUAGUUUCAGAGUGGAAGAUUUUUGUAAAAGAUUACUAAGAUUUACGAAAAAUGGUUAAACAUUGAC
rnacentral:lncRNA from 1 species